CGGACGGGUGAGUAAUGUCUGGGAAACUGCCUGAUGGAGGGGGGUAACUACUGGAAACGGUAGCUAAUACCGCAUAACGUCGCAAGACCAAAGAGGGGGACCUUAGGGCCUCUUGCCAUCGGAUGUGCCCAGAUGGGAUUAGCUAGUAGGUGGGGUAACGGCUCACCUAGGCGACGAUCCCUAGCUGGUCUGAGAGGAUGACCAGCCACACUGGAACUAAGACACGGUCCAG
rnacentral:rRNA from 1 species